CAGAGACCUCAAGCGUUAUCCGGAAUCAUUGGGCGUAAAGCGUGCCGAUAGGUGGUUUUAUUAGUCUUGGGUAAAAGCCAGAAGCUUAACUUCUGAGUUUGCUUAAGAUACUGUAAAACUUGAGGGGCAAAGAGGUGCUUGGAACGAAUGGUGUAGUAGUGAAAUGCGUUGAUAUCAUUCGGAACACCGAAAGCGAAGGCAGAGCACUGGGUGCCACCUGACACUGCUAGGACGAAAGCGUGGGGAGCGAAUGGGAUUAGAUACCCCAGUAGUCCACGCUGUAAACGAUGAAUACUAGGCAUGCGCGAGUAUCGACCCUCGUGCGAGCCGUAGCUAACGCGUUAAGUAUUCCGCCUGGGGAGUACGGUCGCAAGACUA
rnacentral:rRNA from 1 species